AGUGAACGCUGGCGGUAGGCCUAACACAUGCAAGUCGAACGGCAGCACAGUAAGAGCCUGCUCUUACGGGUGGCGAGUGGCGGACGGGUGAGGAAUACAUCGGAAUCUACUUUUUCGGGGGGGAUAACGGAGGGAAACUGACGCUAAUACCGCAUACGACCUACGGGUGAAAGCAGGGGAUCUUCGGACCUUGGGCGAUUCAAUGAGCCGAUGUCGGAUUAGCUAGUUGGCGGGGUAAAGGCCCACCAAGGCGACGAUCCGUAGCUGGUCUGAGAGGAUGAUCAGCCACACUGGAACUGAGACACGGUCCAGACUCCUACGGGAGGCAGCAGUGGGGAAUAUUCGACAAUGGGCGCAAGCCUGAUCCAGCCAUACCGCGUGGGUGAAGAAGGCCUUCGGGUUGUAAAGCUCUUUUGUUAGGAAAGAAAAGCAGCAGGUUUAUCCCUCGCUGUUCUGACGGUACCCAAAGAAUAAGCACCGGCUAACUACGUG
rnacentral:rRNA from 1 species